UGAGGAAUAUUGGUCAAUGGGCGCAAGCCUGAACCAGCCAUCCCGCGUGCAGGAAGACGGCCCUAUGGGUUGUAAACUGCUUUUCCAGGGAGAGAAACCUGCGCACGUGUUGCGCAAUUGACGGUACCCUGGGAAUAAGCAUCGGCUAACUCCGUGCCAGCAGCCGCGGUAAUACGGAGGAUGCAAGCGUUAUCCGGAUUCAUUGGGUUUAAAGGGUGCGUAGGCGGACUAUUAAGUCAGUGGUGAAAGCCUGCAGCUUAACUGCAGAACUGCCAUUGAUACUGAUAGUCUUGAGUUUGGUUAAGGUAGGCGGAAUGUGUAAUGUAGCGGUGAAAUGCUUAGAUAUUACACAGAACACCAAUUGCGUAGGCAGCUUACUGAGCCGACACUGACGCUGAGGCACGAAAGCGUGGGGAUCGAACAG
rnacentral:rRNA from 1 species